ensembl:snRNA U5 U5 spliceosomal RNA
AUACUCUGGUUUUUCUUCUGAUUGGACAAGUCUUCCAUGGAGAGAAACAGAUCUGAGUUUGUGACCAAUUUUUUGAAAGCCUUGUUUUGGUAAGGCUU